GAGAAAGCCUGCCAGCUGCAAUAGGUAUGUCUCACAUGUGGCAGCUUAACACACCUGCAUCACCUAUCGAAGCUGGGGAAAGAAGUAAUGUCACUCUGGGAUAGAAGAUAAACAUGAACAGAUCCCACAGGAGGCGAAUCGCAGCAGCACGCCGGGGCUGGAGUGCAAACGAGUUCAUGAUGAAUGGCGCUGCGCCUUUACAUCGUGCCUUUUGAGAUCUCCCCAAGCAAGCAAGUGGAGCUUAAAAGACAGAGGCUUGAGCAUGUAGUGGAUGCAUUGCAACAAGUUACAACCGUGGCAUCUUUCUAAGUGCUAGGCAGCAUUUUGGAUGGAUAUCAAAGAGAGGUACACAGCUGUUGUUCAAAUGAAUUAUGUCAGGCAUGGAGAGAGGGCAGAGAAAGAGAAAGGGAAGGGGAUGACAGAUUCAUGAACAAGAGCUGCUAGGAUAAGGAUAAAAAGAGAAGAUGGUGUUAGAAGGUGUCGGAGGACAUCCUGUUACAAUUUGGGUGGGGAUAUUGGCAUUGUUCUCUGUCUCCCUGUCUCGUGUGUGUGUGUGUGUGUGUGUGUGUGUGUGUGUGUGAGUGUGUGUGAGAGAGAGAGUAAAUAGACAGGUAUACUAUACAACAUACAAAUUCCUUAAGUGUGAGUAAGGUUGUAAGGCCAAACAAUUCAGGCCAGAUUGUUUUUGUCUAUCAGCCAGAGUGACUCAUGCCAUGGUGAUUCAUGACUAAUGUUUAAUCUGCACUAAUACUUUCUCUAAGGCAAAGACAGCUCCAAAGGAUGUGUGUUGAGACAUAUUACAGAAGCAUAAGACAGCUAUUUAUCUUUUACACCAUAACAAUAGAGUGGCUAACACACACACACACACACACACACACACACACACACACACACACACACACACACACACACACAUAUGCAUGUAUGUUCAGGACUGUUUUCUAGGGGGAAAAAACUAACUUCAUUCCCAUUGACCUAAUAAGAAAACGCACACACACAAACUAGCAAUGCAACAGGUAGAUUGGUUUGUUUACAUCAAUAAAAAUAAUCUACAAAAUGCACAGUGUACAACUGCAAAAAUAAACUCCAAUCUGCAAAGCACAUUUCCUUGGCUUGAGAGUUAUGUAGCGAAGCAAUAAACGAGUCAGCUCUGCACAGCACUGUUAAUCAGCCUAAGAGUUAUGUAGCAAAGCAGUUAAAGAGACAUUUCAAAGAACGUGGUGUACUUUUUUUCUCUCUCUCUCUUUCUCUCUUUCUCUCUCUCUCUCAUCCUUAUUGUAUUCUCGGCAGUCUCAGGGCUUAAUUGUCAGGCCCAUUGCUCAGACGUGGCAUGAAUGCUGAACGAUUUACAAGCGCAAAGAGCUGACUGAACAGCCCGGCACUCCCAUUCACAGGCACAGGAACAUUUUCAUGAAUGACACCCAGCCGCUGAAUGAGACUUCCUGUAUCACAGCUGAAACCAAUCCUCUCUGGCUUGGCUGGGCAAGGCCCUGGGUUCUGGGCUCGGCUGCAGCGUUGGAGUGGGUCCUGAAGCGCCAACUGUUAGGGCACGAGGAGAGAGGCUAUAGUCUCUAGACCCCUAAAGGAUUCACUAGUUUGUCUCCAUAGCGACAUACAUGACAUAUCUAGCCUAUUACAGUUUUGUUUGUGAUUGCUGACUCAUUUGUUUCUGAUUUUACUCAUUCCUGUUAAGCCAACAUAAGCCAAAUAAGACAGGAAACUUGUGGAUACACAUCUUACCCUUAUGUCAAAAAUGAUGCCUCAAUAUCAAAGUUUUAGUAAUAUUUUAAAUAUAACGUUUCAUGUUCAAAGCCUGCUGCUCUUAUGUUGUAAUGACAUCAAAUAGUAUGAUCUCCACCAGACAUUGCAUUCAAAACUCAAUAAUCCCUUUUCAAAAUCUAACUUCAUGGGAUUUUGCUGAAUGAAUGACACAUUUCAGAAAUUGUGUGUAUGAAAUGUUGUUAGCAAGCAGUUUGUGAUUUUAAAAAAUGUAUGUAGUUAAA